rnacentral:lncRNA from 14 species
CUGGUGUGUGGCCUGUGUCCUAAAUCCCUCCCCUCCGAACUUUCUUGUUACUUGUCUGCCUUUCCUUCUUCACUCUGGUCAGCUCAGCAGCCUGAACACACGUUCCACUGGCUGAACUGAAAAUGCAGAGGCCUUCGGGUUCACGGGAACAGCAUGGGCUCUUGCCUGCUGGGAGUGCCCCAAAGAAGGAGCAGGGUACACGACUGAAGAGGUCCCUGGAUCAAGGAGUGAUACAGAAUAUGGCCGUUCCACCUAAAUUUCACAAGCAUGCCAAGAGGUUGGCUGUUGAAGCAGAAAAACGCAAUGGGAAGGAGAGCAGUGUGCGCAAGCAUGAGGCCAGGCCCCACAAAACCCCACGGGAGGGAAGUUCUCAUGGCACUCUGAUGAGCAACAAGCCACGCGAACAUGCCAUUCUGUCCUAUACUCCAGUGACUUGGCAGCAGCAAUCUGUGAUUUCUUUUCCUGCUGAGCAGCACCAUUCCUUUGUCAGGCCCAAAAGAUACUCAAGUGUGAUCGUGCAAAACCGUGCCAUCUCUGGGCCUCUUCUACUGCAGCCACAGGUCCCUAAUGUCAACAAGCAGGAUUCUGUUGCUGCUGCCUUAGAGUGGCAGAGGAAGCUGGAGGCUGCUGAGGCUCUGUUGGCUCUGAGGGACACUCCUCUGCCUCCUCCUAACUUUGCCUCUCUACAACCGCUUGGCAACAUGCCAAAUAGCUAUCUUCCUGAACAUGGACCACAAGGUUCUGAUGGAGAGAAGGGGCUGCAGCCUCGUAGCCGCCACCUACCACGCUCAAGGGCUGCCAACUCCGUCUCUCUUACUGGAAGUCUGGAGUGCAUGUCCUUCUUCACCUAAGAGACCAGAGGGGGAGGUCUCACUACAGCACUGCCUAUUUAGUAUCUUGUUUCAUCUAAAGGAACAAGUGUUUUUAAAUAUUUUUAUUUUUUGCAAUGAGAUCUCACACAGCGAGCCUGGACUUGGAUUCAGUACACAGCUGACGAUGAUUUUGAACUCCUGAUUUUUUUCUCCACCUCCCAAGUGCUCAGAUUAUAGGCAUGUUUUACCAUGCCUGGCUUUCUACAAAUUAUCAUUAAGUUUUCAGGAGUUUUGUAAGCUUCCAGACCCUUUUAUCGUAUAGGGCAUUUACUUGAGUAAGGUUUGAGGUUGCACAUCUCUCUCUCUCUCUCUCUCUCUCUCUCUCUCUCUCUCUCUCUCUCUCUCUCUCUCUCUCUCUGUUAUUCCUUUGGAAUAAUUGCAUUCUGUGGCUCGUAGAGAAAAAAAACAGUAUUGUGUGCUCCAAUGUGACCAAUCACUGGGAUUCCGAGUGGGCUCGGAUGCCAGCAUUUUCAUUUGUCCUGUGAUUGUUCACUCGCUGGCACACCAUGUAAUCAUUCAUGUGGAAU